GAGGAAUAUUGGUCAAUGGGCGAGAGCCUGAACCAGCCAAGUAGCGUGCAGGAUGACGGCCCUAUGGGUUGUAAACUGCUUUUGUAUGGGGAUAAAGUCAAUCACGUGUGAUUGUUUGCAGGUACCAUACGAAUAAGGACCGGCUAAUUCCGUGCCAGCAGCCGCGGUAAUACGGAAGGUCCGGGCGUUAUCCGGAUUUAUUGGGUUUAAAGGGAGCGUAGGCUGGAGAUUAAGUGUGUUGUGAAAUGUAGACGCUCAACGUCUGACUUGCAGCGCAUACUGGUUUCCUUGAGUACGCACAACGUUGGCGGAAUUCGUCGUGUAGCGGUGAAAUGCUUAGAUAUGACGAAGAACUCCGAUUGCGAAGGCAGCUGACGGGAGCGCAACUGACGCUGAAGCUCGAAGGUGCGGGUAUCGAACAGGAUUAGAUACCCUGGUAGUCCGCACAGUAAACGAUGGAUGCCCGCUGUUGGUACCUGGUAUCAGCGGCUAAGCGAAAGCAUUAAGCAUCCCACCUGGGGAGUACGCCGGCAACGGUG
rnacentral:rRNA from 1 species